GACGAACGCUGGCGGCGUGCCUAAUACAUGCAAGUCGAACGCAGUGGGGACGGGUGAGUAACACGUGGCUAACCUCGCAUCAGAGGGGAUAACACUUGGAAAAAGGUGCUAAAGCGAUAUUGGUGGAUGAAACCGCUGGGCAUUAGCUAGUUGUUGAGGUAACGGCUCACCAAGGCCACGAUGCCUAGCUGACCUGAUAGGAUGAGCGGCCACACUGGGACUGAGACACGGCCCAGACUCCUACGGGAGGCAGCAGUAGGGAAUCUUCGGCAAUGGACGAAAGUCUGACCGAGCCACGCCGCGUGAGUGAAGAAGGUUUUCGGAUCGUAAAGCUCUGUUGUUAGAGAAGCGGUAUCUAACCAGAAAGCCACGGCUAACUCCGUGCCAGCCGCCGCGGUAAUAC
rnacentral:rRNA from 1 species